UGCGUAGGCGGGCUAAUAAGUCAGUGGUGAAAUCUUCCGGCUCAACCGGGAACCUGCCAUUGAUACUGUUAGUCUUGAGUUCGGUUGAGGUAGGCGGAAUGUGUAAUGUAGCGGUGAAAUGCUUAGAUAUUACACAGAACACCAAUUGCGUAGGCAGCUUACUAGACCGACACUGACGCUGAGGCACGAAAGCGUGGGGAGCGAACAGGAUUAGAUACCCUGGUAGUCC
rnacentral:rRNA from 1 species